ACACUCCCAACAUGUAGGUGGCCUCAUCAGAAGGUAAAAACUGAAGAAAAAAAUCAUUCAAACUCCCAUAUACUAGAUCUUUCUCAUUUAAUCUUGAGGUUUCCAUGUUGAGAGGAGUGAAAGGAGAUUUCUGUACCCAUUAGCCAAGAUUGUCUGAAACAAAUCCCAGGAAGAUGUUUUGAAAGAAGAAUACAUAAGCCUUAUGACUCAGUUCUCAGUAGCUUCUUCAGUAUCUUUCUUUUAAAAUAUCAUUUUAAAGUCUUGCAUUAUAGCACUAAAAAAGCUAAAAGAAUGCUAAAAUUGCACUAAAUCCAACCACGCCAGCAAGCCUGCUCAAUUCAUUUCUUCAGACAUCACUCCGAAAUUGCCAGAGUGGUUUCCCACUGACAGACUUCAUCGCUGUACUGCACAUCUCUUCACUACAAAUGGGGAGAUGAGACAGAGACAAAAAGAGAAAUGGAUUUACUGUGCUGGGGAAGUUAAGCACACACUGGGUUGGAAUUUCAUUUCCACUGAAUUAGAAGCUCUGGCUCAGCACGGAUGACACAGUGAUGCUCCUUUAAUAACACAAAAUAAAUAAAACAUGGAAAAGGUUAAAAAAAAAAAAAAA
rnacentral:lncRNA from 1 species